rnacentral:lncRNA from 1 species
CUGGCUUGUGUGACCUCAGCCACACACACACACACACACACACAGAGACACACGACAGAGCCCAAAAUAGAACCAGAAGAUGAGUCAUGAUGUUCAGGAAGGAUUUCAAAACAAAUGGACCUAUUUACUUGUGCAUCUGUCUCCCGAAGCUGGUACUGUUUUACAAUGGUAUUAUUGAUUUGUUCUCAUUAUCUGCAUCUGAGAGAUUGACCAGUGGAGCAGGAAAUAUCUUGUACCUGGCUUGGGAUUUUAGCUGAAGACCUUUAUCAUCCUGAAACAAGAGGGAAGUCAGGGACAUGGCCGGUUCUCAAGAGCCCAGGUGAGUACCAUGAAGCAUCUCACAAGGAAACCUUACAGCCUGAACAGUUGGGGAGCUUCCUU